GCGGAACGACACUUUUAGUGAAUCAGUUUCGAGACGUUCUCCGGAGCAGUAUCUGCUCCGAUAUAUAACCACGAACUUGGACGUUUCGCUACAAGAAAACGAGGAUCCUUCGUGGACACAAAUUGAACGAAGACGUAGUACGUUCGGUUUCGGAACUUAACUAGGGCCGUUACGAAGCGAUGUUGGUAAUUCGGCAGCUUCUAAUGACAGAAUCUUGUUUGGUGAAGCGCAACGUUAUACGACAAUUUUUGCAUAGUAACUGGAAUCCUUCUAAACCACGGAUCAUACGUGACUGAAUUGAGCGGGAUAAGAACUUAGAAUCGCCAGUGCCUACGACUGUGUAUCCGAGGUCCUCGACACGACCUUUCGAAUGAUAUGUCUAUAUUGAGAACUGUAUGAUAGCAAUGACGCUGGUGCAUUCAAAGACUCGAACGAACACCAAAAAAUAGAGGAACAACUUGGAAAAUCUAUGGAACGAAUUUUUUUUCUACGUAUAUUCAUCUUCGAGACACAAGUACACAGGGAAAUUUAUUUAUCUCGCCACUUGCUGAACAAUUUUCUAAUCAGUCUCAGUAGAUCGCUCGGUGAACUUUAACCUAUUGUGCGUUCUUAAAUGCUAAUCGAUAAGUUUCAUAGUUCCUAUACAAUCUACUAUUACUGAAUACUUGAUAUACAUGUACUAACCAUCUCUCCUAGCAUGUUUCUUCUCGAGUUCCGUAAUUUGUGGCAACGGCUCCCCGGCUCGACGUUUCAGGCUGCUCUGCUGGCAAUUGGGGGAAUUGUCGGAAGACGGGCUGAGAUGUUGGGGUGACUCGCUGCUCGAACGUAUUUGGACACUGUCCUCCGGGGAAUCCUUCGGUGAGUUGUAUUUAUCCUGCCAUAAAGAAUUUUGUGGACUGUGAUAUCCCAUUGACGCCUAUAAAACGUUUGAUCAUCGUCAGUUCACGGGAUGAAUCGCGCGGAGCUUCACGGGUUUCGCUCGAAGAGCCACGACGACGUGACCGAGACGCGAUUCACAAACUGCUAGUUGCGCGAAUAGAAUCGGCUCUAUCGCGUGUUCAACGAGAGCGCGAUGAACGAAAACGAAGAAGAAAAAUUGGCUGAUAUGGUUAACGCGCGUGCUGGAAAUACGGAGGACGUUUUUGCCCUCUCGCGAACUUAAUGAGAACGAGCGUCGUGAAGCGUCGCGUUCAACUUCGAGUACCAACGAGAUGAUACCAUUGUCCGAAGGAAGGAACAUUGUGAAACUUACAUGCUGAGUGGCGAUGGGGUCGCACCUGUUCUGACGAACUGGGGACAGCUGUUCGUACGGAGGCGACGGUGUAUUGGGAAACCAUAUCGUCCCGUUCAAAGCAUCUGCACCGCCGUCCAUGAUGAAUUCCAGCUCCAUCCAACGACCCUAAAUCUCGAAACACUCCUACCAGGGUUUGUUUCUCAGGGUAACACUACCUUUAUCGAUUGUUUUCUUUCUAAUCACGAUUCUAUUCGCCCUUACUGUUCGAGUGCUCAGAGAUUCUUUGGAGAACGCUUUGGUCGCCUAUUAUUCGAAGAGAAGACUAUAAGUCCGAGUUUAGUUAGAACAUGAACGAUCAUCCACGCUGAAAUUUUUUGGGAUCAACAAGGACUCGGGCACCUCUGUCGCUCGACUUUUCUAAGCGCUAACGUACAUUUUGCGGCUGAUAGGUUUCCCAGUUUUUGUUCUUUCGUCGGUUCGUUUCCCUCGUUCCACUUGAUCUUUCGGAUUCUUU